UCCCUGGUGGCUCAGUUGGUAAAGAAUCUGCCUGCAAUGCAGGAGACCCUGGUUCAAUUCCUGGGUCUGGAA
rnacentral:tRNA from 1 species